UACGAAGGUCCCAAGCUUUAUCCGGAUUUAUUGGGUUUAAAGGGUGCGUAGGCGGGUUAUUAAGUCAGUGGUGAAAGCCUUCAGCUUAACUGAAGAAUUGCCAUUGAUACUGAUGAUCUUGAGUAUGAUUGAGGUUGGCGGAAUGUGUCAUGUAGCGGUGAAAUGCUUAGAUAUGACACAGAACACCGAUUGCGAAGGCAGCUAACUAAGUCAUAACUGACGCUGAUGCACGAAAGCGUGGGGAGCAAACAGG
rnacentral:rRNA from 1 species